GACGAACGCUGGCGGCGUGCUUAACACAUGCAAGUCGAACGGUGAAGGGGUCUGCUUUUGUGGGCCCUGGAUGAGUGGCGAACGGGUGAGUAACACGUGAGUAACCUGCCCCCUUCUUCUGGAUAACCGCAUGAAAGUGUGGCUAAUACGGGAUAUUCUGGGUCUGUCGCAUGAUGUGUCUGGGAAAGAUUGCGCCUUUGGGUGUUUUUGGUGGGGGAUGGGCUCGCGGCCUAUCAGCUUGAUGGUGGGGUGAUGGCCUACCAAGGCGGUGACGGGUAGCCGGCCUGAGGGGGUGGACGGUCACACUGGGACUGAGGCACGGCCCAGACUCCUACGCGAGGCAGCAGUGGGGAAUAUUGCACAAUGGGCGCAAGCCUGAUACAGCGACGCCGCGUGAGGGAUGCAGGCCUUCGGGUUGUAAACCUCUUUCGCCAGUGAAGCAGGCCUGCUCCUUGUGGGUGGGUUGACGGUAGCUGGAUAAGAAGCGCCGGCUAACUACGUG
rnacentral:rRNA from 1 species